UUUUCUCUUCCCUAAAGAGCAGACAGCCGGGAAGGUGUCACCCUGCCUGCACGGGCAGGAGAGUGAUGCUAUGGAGAUGGCAGAUAGUCAAUGUGGACAUCAUUCUCCCAUCAGCUACAGCCCUGCUCAAACAGAAGUUGGAAAACAGGUCUGCCCUAAACAGGAACCUGUGCAUGGCUUAAUUUGCAUUUAAGCAGUAAACAGUCAUCAAGCAGGAAGAGCACAUAAAGGAAGUUCAAACAGGUGAAAAAACCAGCAGGGAAUAUCCUUCCAUCUAGACUCUUCGGGUCCUGGCUUUCAGCUGGAAAUGUUUUUCAAAAGAGGGACUAAAACUAUAAAAAUGAGGGGCAAAGCACCCUUCUGUCCCCCACUGCCCAUCAUAUUCACAGGAAGCGGCUGUUGAGCUCUAGCGGAAAGGUCCUGAUUGAAGGAGUUUGGCCAGUAAGACUGCUGAAAUCAUGUGGUGAGAACCUGCUUUGAAUCCAAUGUAGUUUGUUAAGUCAGACAUCGGUAAGCAUU